UACGGAGGGUGCGAGCGUUAAUCGGAAUUACUGGGCGUAAAGCGCACGCAGGCGGUUUGUUAAGCUAGAUGUGAAAGCCCCGGGCUCAGCCUGGGAUGGUCAUUUAGAACUGGCAGACUAGAGUCUUGGAGAGGGGAGUGGAAUUCCAGGUGUAGCGGUGAAAUGCGUAGAUAUCUGGAGGAACAUCAGUGGCGAAGGCGACUCCCUGGCCAAAGACUGACGCUCAUGUGCGAAAGUGUGGGUAGCGAACAGG
rnacentral:rRNA from 1 species